AACCAUCUAUUCUAUUAACUAUGUUGUAAACCACUGUUCAUUAGAACAGUGGUUUACAACAUAGUUAAUAGAAUAGAUGGUUUGGAAACG
rnacentral:miRNA from 1 species